rnacentral:lncRNA from 1 species
GGGGCGGGCGGGCGGCGAGCGCGUUUCCAUGGCACCGAGGCUGCGGGGGCUGCGGGGCCGCGCGGCUCGCCGGGCUCCGGGGCUCCCGGCGGAGCAGGGGCGCAGCUCGGCGGCCGCGGCGCCUCCGGGGCUCGGACGCCGCCCCCGCGCUCGCCGCCGCCGCGCCCCCCUCGGCGCCCCGCGCCCCGCCGGCCCCGCGCGCCAACUUCUGCCCCGCGAGCCCAACUUGUGCGCGGGGCGCGCCGCCGGGGUCCCCGGCCACUCGGGCUGCGCCGCCUGCGCGCUCCUGCCGCCGCCCGCAGCGCCCUGCAGCUCCGCUCGGCCGGGAUCCAGUACUACACCACCUACAGACAAGCGUACCACAUGGAGCAACAGCCCGUCUACAAGUGCUGCCCUGGUUGGAGCCAGUGGGACAAUGAACCUGGCUGCCUAUGCUGCGGUGGGAACAUGUUUCAAAGGAAGGAGGUGCUCAGACGGCGAGGCCCAGCAGAGCCAGUAUUCAGAGGGUUUUCAAGGCCCCCACUGUCAAUAUGAACUCCAUGAAGAGGUCUUGGGCUAAUUUAUUCAAUAUAGUGCCAAACGGCCGUGGAACAUUAGAUUGACUGAUGAUUUUCUCUCUCAGAGAUGUCAGUGGAAACAUUCCUAACUGCCCGAGGCAGUCAUAUGCCACAGCUGGCACCAUAUUUAAACUACUUCCCCACGUAAGUGCAUAAUUUUGUCACCUGGUGAUAAAGAGCAAAGAGCUACAAAAGGAAAUUUUGCAAAAAAUAGUCUUAUUUUCACUUAGCUAAUGCUGCAACUCUGUCAAUUAGGCCUUUUUAGGUAGAUGAAAACAUUUGUGUGCCAAUUAAAUAACUUAGCAAAUUUCAGCAAGACUCAGCAAAAUUCAGAAUGCCAUUUCCUAAAGAUGCAGCCCCAUUCUUGUUAAACAAAGAUGAUCAGAUGCCAUCUAGGACAUUUAGUGGCUCCUCAGAUACUGAAAAAUUUUAAGUCAAAGAAAAAGCACCACUCUUAACUAAGGAAAGCCAAAAAAAGGUAACAAGGGAAACCAAAAUAUUAAAAACAUGAAAUAAUUUUUCAAAAAUAUGUAUACUGGAGGAGAAAUGAUAAAUUAACUUGAAAUGGUAAAUCUUUUCAUUUUUUAUUUCAAAGUGUAGCUCUG